AACGAACGCUGGCGGCAGGCUUAACACAUGCAAGUCGAGCGCCCCGCAAGGGGAGCGGCAGACGGGUGAGUAACGCGUGGGAAUCUACCCAUCUCUACGGAAUAACGCAUGGAAACGUGUGCUAAUACCGUAUACGUCCUUCGGGGGAAAGAUUUAUCGGAGAUGGAUGAGCCCGCGUUGGAUUAGCUAGUUGGUGGGGUAAAGGCCUACCAAGGCAACGAUCCAUAGCUGGUCUGAGAGGAUGAUCAGCCACACUGGGACUGAGACACGGCCCAGACUCCUACGGGAGGCAGCAGUGGGGAAUAUUGGACAAUGGGCGCAAGCCUGAUCCAGCCAUGCCGCGUGAGUGAUGAAGGCCCUAGGGUUGUAAAGCUCUUUCACCGGUGAAGAUAAUGACGGUAACCGGAGAAGAAGCCCCGGCUAACUUCGUGCCAGCCGCCGCCGUAAUAC
rnacentral:rRNA from 1 species